rnacentral:tRNA from 3 species
GGGACGGUAGCUCAGAUGGUAGAGCGAUGGAUUGAAGCUCCAUGCGCCGCAGGUUCGAUCCCUGCCCGUCCCA